GGAAAAUCAGUUUUAGUGCAGAAGGCCCGCUGCAAGGGGAUGUGACUAGGGUUGUCGUCGCCCACGUUCCUCGGCCCGACCCCGACGGCCGGCGGCGGCUCUCACCCUACGCAUCGCCUCCCAGCGAUCUCCUUCCUCGUCGUGCGCCUGUCUUCCUUGCCCCUCCAGAUGGAGAGAGGUGUGAAAGCCAAGGCAAAAUGGGAUUCAUUUGCACACAAAGUUUUUUGUGAGAUCUGUAUUCUGUAAGGAGGAGGUCAGUGCCGGGAACAGGCCAGAGGCAUAUUUAAAUGCCACGGGAUACAUGAAUCUACAGCAGAAGUUCUUGGCUAGGACAGGGAGAAAUUAUGAGAGGAAGCAGUUCAAAAACCGAUGGGACUUCUUGAAGACAGAAUAUGGUCAUUGGAUGACCUUUACACAGGCUGCAACUGGGCAGCAAUUGGAUUGCAAUUUGGGAACAGCAGAUGCCGACCAUGAAUGGUGGGUGAAGCUCAUCGAGGCCCACCCAGAAUUUGUAUAGUUCCGUAACGGAGCACCAGAAAACCUUGCUGAGCUUACCACCAUUUUUGACAAGACUCAUGUGACGGUUGCAACUUCUGCGAUCCUAGGUGAGCAUAUAGAAGACCCCACUGAUCUCUUUGAGGUUGAGGAUGGCAACAGUUAUCUGGAACUGGAAGACAACAAUGAUGUGGAAAGCAACAAGGCACCUGGCCAGAAAAUAAAGGAAGUGGAAAAGCAGAGGGCUGCUGCCAUUGCUGCUAGUCCAAAGACGAAACGAAAGCAACAAAAGAACCCUACGGUUCAGGAGUGCAGGCAUCUGGCAUACAUAAUGGCUGGUAGCACUUCGGUGACAUCUUCGACUGAUGUUCCAAGAGGCCAUGGGAUUAAAGACGUCAUCAAGUUGGCUGUGCAAUCUGGGGCGAAGGAAUGCAGCGAUCUGUUCUUCACGGCCACCAAGCUUUUUGUGAAUGUGGAUUAUAGAAAGAUGUUUAGUGCUUUGGAGACCAAUGAAGGAAGGCUCGAUUGGCUGAACAGGAUGCAUGAAGAGAUGUAGAAGAAUUAAUGUAUCUGCUUCUCUCUUAAUACUGAUCUUUUUCCGAGAUGUGAGGAUAAGACUCAUUUUCCCACACUUUUGGAAUUAAAGUAGAAGGGAGACUCGAACCUCAGUGGGUUGGUUUGCAACCUUGUACGCCCACUGCAAAGGAGAGUUCUCGUGUGAGUACUAAUCCGACAUUAUUAUGAACUCACCUUUUUUGUGAUUAUGUGACAUCUGGAUGGUAGGAUCACUUUCUGUUUUACAGUAUACUAGCCUUUACUGUCUUCCGAAGUGCAGAUUUUUUUAAAGCAGAACCAGUUGGCUCUAUGUAACUGUACUGUUCAUGUCCUGCACAUAGUUACUUUUU